ACAUUACCAAAGACGGGAUAAGUAAAUAGGCAUCAAUUUUAGAGAGGUUUCAUUUGGUGAAAGAGACUAUUGGUAAGUAUUGAAAAUGGUCCUUGAGGUUGAAGUGAUUCGAGUGACCAUUUUGGUCAUAAGAUGAGCUCGUUUGGCGCCGUUAUCCGCUAAUCCUAUCCUAUAUUUUGAAUAUGGCGUAGGAGUGAGGGAAAGAAUAUCUUUCUAAAGUAAGGUGGUACCACGUGAAAUGCGUCCUUAGU
rnacentral:ncRNA from 1 species